UGAGAUUGGGUCUCACAGAACUAUUUUCCCGGGCUGACUUUGAACCACAAUCCUCCUAAUCUCUGCCUCCUGAGUAGCUAAGAUUACAGGCAUGAGCGAACAGCACCUGGUCAUUUCCAGCUUUAACAUGGAGAUCCUCAUCUAACAGAGACAGGACAAGGAUUCAGAUCUGGCCUUUAGAUGAACUAAGUAAAAAUCACUUCUUCUCUCAGACCUGAGUUUUCUGGACUGAAAAAUGAGAACAAACAUUUCUACUUCAUAAGGCAUACAGAAUUUCUCAAACAAUAUAUCUUCUACAAAAGCAAUUCAUAACAGUAAAGGACUCAUCUAAUGUUAUCAUUGGUUUUAAAAGACCUGAAGAACAGAAACCAGCUUCCGGCUUCCACCUAGGCCUCACCAUGUUUCCCUUCCCUAACUUUUAAUAAACUCCAUUUACCCCCAUGUUUCCUGCCAUGGAUUCUUCUACACAGGACAAGAAUUAGGAAGUCUUUUGAGUACAGACAGAACCAGCGCUGUAAACAACUUGAGUCCAGGA